rnacentral:rRNA from 1 species
GAUGAACGCUGGCGGCGUGCCUAAUACAUGCAAGUCGAGCGAACAGACGAGGAGCUUGCUCCUUUGACGUUAGCGGCGGACGGGUGAGUAACGCGUGGGUAACCUACCUAUAAGACUGGGAUAACUUCGGGAAACCGGAGCUAAUACCGGAUAAUAUUUCGAACCGCAUGGUUCGAUAGUGAAAGAUGGCUUUGCUAUCACUUAUAGAUGGACCUGCGCCGUAUUAGCUAGUUGGUAAGGUAACGGCUUACCAAGGCAACGAUCCGUAGCCGACCUGAGAGGGUGAUCGGCCACACUGGAACUGAGACACGGUCCAGACUCCUACGGGAGGCAGCAGUAGGGAAUCUUCCGCAAUGGGCGAAAGCCUGACGGAGCAACGCCGCGUGAGUGAUGAAGGUCUUCGGAUCGUAAAACUCUGUUAUUAGGGAAGAACAAACGUGUAAGUAACUGUGCACGUCUUGACGGUACCUAAUCAGAAAGCCACGGCUAACUACGUG